rnacentral:rRNA from 1 species
UACAGAGGGGGCCAGCGUUAUUCGGAAUUAUUGGGCGUAAAGGGCGCGUAGGCGGCCAUGCGUGUCUUCCGUGAAAUCCCUCGGCUUAACCGAGGACGUGCGGAAGAAACUGCAAGGCUCGAGUCCGGAAGAGGGGGGCGGAAUUCCCAGUGUAGCGGUGAAAUGCGUAGAUAUUGGGAGGAACACCAGUGGCGAAGGCGGUCCCCUGGGCCGGAACUGACGCUGAGGAGCGAAAGCCAGGGGAGCAAACGGG